CUGUGUCUGCAACAGCUGCUGCCUGGCCAGCCCCCGUGGAUUGUAAGGCGCAGCCCCGCUCCAGGGGUGCAAAAGGAUAAAUUCCCAGAAGACUAAUCUCUGUGUCAAAGGACAGAUGAAAAGCAUUACGACUCUUACGACGUGUUGCCAAAAUGCUCUUCAAACCCGUUGUUUUUGUUUGAGCUGCCACCACCAGUAUGUGAAAAUGCAGCUAGCACGCAAGAUGGUUAAAGCUACCACAUCCACAGACAGUGCUGUGCCCUGUAUGGUUCAAGGCAUUGCCUUUGCUCCUCAAAGCUUCACAUCCUGAUUUUAUAAACAAAUAGGAGUUUUGUCUCAGAGGCAUCCUCAAUUGAUGUAUGGAGGCCUGGAGAAAGGAAAGUGUUGAAGUUCAAGUUCUUGGCCUGCUCACUUCAGUCUCAAACUUCAAAAAGUCUACGUGAAGUUUCUGAAGAAAUGGAAUUCCCUGUUAACUCAGAUACUAAAUUAUAUAAAUACUGCACCUCAGAAGACCCGAAGUGAAGUCACUUGCAAGAGCCUUGAAACCAGAAGGCCCAUCCUCACAUCACAGUGUUGGCACCUAUCCAAAAGGUACCCCACAUCCUCUCUGUGCUCCCAGGCUGCAUCCUGAAGUAUUUGCCUCAGUCCAUCUUGCUGGCCACACCCGUUCCCCACCUGGUCCUGAUUGUUCCAGGUCAUGGCCCUAGACCUGUUUCCUGCUCCUCUGACCUGAGGUCUGAUAUAGUUUCCAUCAGGCUGAUCUCUGGCUUCCUCCCUUAGCUCUACAUUUCACCUGCCCCUUUAUCACGUUGCUUCAUGGCUGCUCUAAACCAGGGUUCAGCCUCUCUCUGGUACCAGUUCUCACGCCGGAGUGCCUGCCCUCUAGGUUCACUCUGCCUCCAGGAAUGGAUCCCAGACUCACAUCACCUUUUAUCCUGUAAGAAGUUAGUUUUGAGCCACUUUAAAGAACUGCUGACAUUAAGACUUUAGAAUUUGGUUAUUUGAUCCAUCAGUAUGGAUCAUGUAGGAAGAAAGGCCACGUGUACAUGAGAAUUGACCUUCUCUGGGUGUGCACAUGCGAGAACCAGACCUCAUUCCUAUGUCAUUAAACAACAGUCAUACAUAGUAGAGCUUUGCAUCUACAGUAGUCAGUCCAAUAUUCAGAGAGAAAGUAAUUGUAAUUGGCUGAUUACAAAAGGGCAACAGAAAGAUGAUUUUAAUGACUUCACGUCAGGUGACAUGGUGUUCCAGCCAUGCUUUGUAAUGACUUUCCAGGCACCCUGUCCACUUUGGAGAAUAUGCAAGAUUUUCUG
rnacentral:lncRNA from 1 species